GACGAACGCUGGCGGCGUGCUUAACACAUGCAAGUCGAACGGUGAAGCGCCUUCCUUUUUGGUGGGUGUGGAUGAGUGGCGAACGGGUGAGUAACACGUGAGUAACCUGCCCCCUUCUUCUGGAUAACCGCAUGAAAGUGUGGCUAAUACGGGAUAUUCUGGGUCUGUCGCAUGAUGGGUCUGGGAAAGAUAUUGUUUCGGUGGGGGAUGGGCUCGCGGCCUAUCAGCUUGUUGGUGGGGUGAUGGCCUACCAAGGCGGUGACGGGUAGCCGGCCUGAGAGGGUGGACGGUCACACUGGGACUGAGACACGGCCCAGACUCCUACGGGAGGCAGCAGUGGGGAAUAUGGCACAAUGGGCGCAAGCCUGAUGCAGCGACGCCGCGUGAGGGAUGGAGGCCUUCGGGUCGUGAACCUCUUUCGCCAGUGAAGCAGGCCUGCCUCGUUUGUGGGUGGGUUGACGGUAGCUGGAUAAGAAGCGCCGGCUAACUACGUG
rnacentral:rRNA from 1 species